rnacentral:rRNA from 1 species
UACGGAGGUGGCAAGCGUUACUCGGAUUCAUUGGGUGUAAAGGGCGUGUAGGCGGUUACGUAAGUUGAAUGUGAAAUCCCACGGCUUAACCGUGGAACUGCGUUCAAUACUGCGCGACUUGAGGAUGGGAGAGGAGAAUGGAAUUCCCGGUGUAAGGGUGAAAUCUGUGGAUAUCGGGAGGAACACCAGUGGCGAAGGCGGCUCUCUGGUCUGGCUCUGACGCUGAACUGCGAAAGCUCGGGGAGCAAACAGG